rnacentral:ncRNA from 2 species
AACAAUUUAACGGGGAGGCUCUGUGGUGAGCCUGAGAGGAGCGCAAGGCGCUCGACCCGCAUAACCUGAUCCAGAUCAUACUGGCGGAGGGAAAAUACCUGAAUAAACG